AUCUGCAGCCACAGUACCCUGAUUGCCUGUUUCCUCCCAUCUCAGAAGCCAAGCAGGGUUGGGCCUGGUUAGUUCUCCAGCAUCCAGCCGCCCCCACUGAAAGGUUUUGCUGUUA
ensembl:rRNA 5S_rRNA 5S ribosomal RNA